CCUACGGGAGGCAGCAGUGGGGAAUAUUGCACAAUGGGGGAAACCCUGAUGCAGCGACGCCGCGUGAGUGAGGAAGUAUUUCGGUAUGUAAAGCUCUAUCAGCAGGGAAGAAAAUGACGGUACCUGACUAAGAAGCUCCGGCUAACUACGUGCCAGCAGCCGCGGUAAUACGUAGGGGGCAAGCGUUAUCCGGAUUUACUGGGUGUAAAGGGAGCGUAGACGGUUAAUCAAGUCAGAAGUGAAAACCCAGGGCUCAACCUUGGGACUGCUUUUGAAACUGAGUAGCUAGAGUGCUGGAGAGGUAAGCGGAAUUCCUAGUGUAGCGGUGAAAUGCGUAGAUAUUAGGAGGAACACCAGUGGCGAAGGCGGCUUACUGGACUGUAACUGACGUUGAGGCUCGAAAGCGUGGGGAGCAAACAGGAUUAGAUACCCGGGUAGUC
rnacentral:rRNA from 1 species